rnacentral:rRNA from 1 species
UACGUAGGGUGCAAGCGUUUGUCCGGAAUUUAUUGGGCGUAAAGAGCUCGUAGGCGGUCUGUCGCGUCUGCUGUGAAAACUCGGGGCUUAACCCCGGGCCUGCAGUGGGUACGGGCAGACUAGAGUGCGGUAGGGGAGACUGGAAUUCCUGGUGUAGCGGUGAAAAUGCGCAGAUAUCAGGAGGAACACCGGUGGCGAAGGCGGGUCUCUGGGCCGUAACUGACGCUGAGGAGCGAAAGCAUGGGGAGCGAACAGG